CCUACGGGAGGCAGCAGUGGGGAAUAUUGGACAAUGGGGGAAACCCUGAUCCAGCAAUGCCGCGUGAGUGAUGAAGGCCUUAGGGUCGUAAAGCUCUUUUACCAGGGAUGAUAAUGACAGUACCUGGAGAAUAAGCUCCGGCCAACUCCGUGCCAGCAGCCGCGGUAAUACGGAGGGAGCUAGCGUUGUUCGGAAUUACUGGGCGUAAAGCGUGCGUAGGCGGUUAUUCAAGUCAGAGGUGAAAGCCCGGGGCUCAACCCCGGAACGGCCUUUGAAACUAGAUAACUAGAAUCUUGGAGAGGUCAGUGGAAUUCCGAGUGUAGAGGUGAAAUUCGUAGAUAUUCGGAAGAACACCAGUGGCGAAGGCGACUGACUGGACAAGUAUUGACGCUGAGGUACGAAAGCGUGGGGAGCAAACAGGAUUAGAUACCCUGGUAGUCCACGCCGUAAACGAUGAUAACUAGCUGUCCGGACACUUGGUGUUUGGGUGGCGCAGCUAACGCAUUAAGUUAUCCGCCUGGGGAGUACGGUCGCAAGAUUAAAACUCAAAUGAAUUGACGG
rnacentral:rRNA from 1 species